rnacentral:rRNA from 1 species
CGCACGGGUGAGUAAUGCAUAGGUAACGUGCCCCUUAGUCUGGGAUAGCCACUGGAAACGGUGAAUAAUACUAGAUACUCCUUUUUACUUAAUGUAAUUUGGGAAAGUUUUUCGCUAAGGGAUCGGCCUAUGUUGUAUCAGGUAGUUGGUGAGGUAAUGGCUCACCAAGCCUAUGACACAUAGCGGGUCUGAGAGGAUGAUCCGCCACACUGGUACUGAGACACGGACCAG